rnacentral:lncRNA from 1 species
GAGAAAAUACAUUUUCAACGUAAAGGGGAUCAACGCUGCAGCAGAUCCCCUUCCUCUAUUCCCUUUUCCCUUCCACCUGCUUAUGUGGGUCCCACUAUCAGUGACUAAUCUAUUUUAUUUUUUUCCUCUCCUUUUUUCCUCUCCCCUCCGUCUCUGCAUCUCGCGCAAAGGAACUCCGGCCCGACCAGCGCAGAGGGACGGUGGCGUGGUGGGGUGGCGGCCGGGCGAGCCCGCGCGGUGGGACGACGGUGUGGUGGGGUGGCGGCCUGGCCGGCUCGCGCGGAGGGAUGGCGUCG